rnacentral:rRNA from 1 species
GAUGAACGCUGGCGGCGUGCCUAACACAUGCAAGUCGAACGAGACUGAAUCAACGAAGCUUCGGCAGAGUAGAAGAAAGUCGAGUGGCGGACGGGUGAGUAACACGUGGGUAACCUGCCUUAUAGAGGGGGAUAACAGAGAGAAAUCUCCGCUAAUACCGCAUAAGCACACACUGCCGCAUGGCAGAGGGUGAAAAGAUUUAUCGCUAUAAGAUGGACCCGCGUCUGAUUAGCCAGUUGGCAGGGUAAAAGCCUACCAAAGCAACGAUCAGUAGCCGACCUGAGAGGGUGACCGGCCACAUUGGGACUGAGACACGGCCCAAACUCCUACGGGAGGCAGCAGUGGGGGAUAUUGCACAAUGGAGGAAACUCUGAUGCAGCGACGCCGCGUGAGUGAAGAAGUAUUUCGGUAUGUAAAGCUCUAUCAGCAGGGAAGAAAAUGACAGUACCUGACUAAGAAGCCCCGGCUAACUACGUG